rnacentral:sRNA from 1 species
UACAACCAGACACGCGGCGCCAUCCCGA